rnacentral:lncRNA from 1 species
GACCUUUUGGCUAUUUUCAUUUAAGACCCAGGCACAAACUUAGUAGCAUAGACCCAAGCAUUGUUUGCAACAGGGUUAUCAAGGUGGUCCAAUAGGUUCUCCAAGGGACCUUUACCAGUAACAAUGGCUUGAACAAAGAAACCAAACAUUGAAAACAUGGCUAGCCUACCAUUCUUGAUUUCUUUAACCUUAAGUUCAGCAAAUGUAACAGGGUCAUCAGCAAGACCAAGAGGGUCAAAGUAUUGUCCACCAGGGUAAAGAUCAUUGCCUUCACCAACACCAGGGAAGCCAUUGAUGCGGAAUCCUUCGACGAGUCCCAUUAGGACAACUUGGAAUCCGAGAACGGCAAGGAUGCUUUGAGCAUGGACUAGGUUAGGGUUGCCUAAGUAAUCCAAGCCACCUUCUGAGAAAAUUUGAG